CCUACGGGUGGCUGCAGUGGGGAAUAUUGCACAAUGGGGGAAACCCUGAUGCAGCGACGCCGCGUGAGUGAAGAAGUAUCUCGGUACGUAAAGCCCUAUCAGCAGGGAAGAAAAUGACGGUACCCGACUAAGAAGCCCCGGCUAACUACGUGCCAGCAGCCGGGGUAAUACGUAGGGGGCAAGCGUUAUCCGGAUUUACUGGGGUUAAAGGGGGCGUAGACGGGAGGACAAGUCUGGAGGGAAAUCCCCGGGGUUAACCCCCGAAGAGCUGUGGAAACUGGGCGGCUGGAGUGAAGGAGGGGUAUGCGGAAUGCCUGGUGUAGCGGUGAAAUGCAUAGAUAUUAGGAGGAACACCGAUGGCGAAGGCAGCAUACUGGACUGUAACUGACGUUGAGGCUCGAAAGCGUGGGGAGCGAACAGGAUUAGAUACCCUUGUAGUC
rnacentral:rRNA from 1 species